rnacentral:rRNA from 1 species
UGGUGGAUUGAUUUGUCUGGUUGAUUCCGAUAACGAACGAGACCCGAGUGGAUAACUACGUUCCUCGUAAUGCAAAUUACUUGGAUGUUCUUAUUCAGACAACUGUUUUCUAAACAGAGGAAGCGUCGGGCAAUAACA